AACUAAAUAGGAUUCUCUUAGUAAUGGCGAAUGAACUGGGAUGAGCUCACCAUGGGAAUCGGGGUCCUCGACCUUGAAUUGUAGUCUUGAGACGCACUGCCAACAAAGGCGCAGGUGUAAGCCUCUUGGAAGAGAGCAUCGCAGAGGGUGAGAGUCCCGUCUGUCACCUGCAGCCCCUUGUGUACGGCAUGCGUUCUGAGAGUCACGUUCCUCGGGAUUGGAGCGCAAAUUGGGUGGUAAGUUUCACCUCAAGCUAAAUAUUGGUCCGAGACCGAUAGCAAACAAGUACCAUGAGGGAAAGGUGAAAAGGACUUUGAAAAGAGAGUUAAAAGUGCUUGAAAUUGCUGAAAGGGAAGCGAAUGGAACCAGUUCUGCUGGGCGAGAUUGUCGCAUGCCAAGGCCUCGUGCCGGCCGCAUGCGGUGCUUCUUGCCUUGUGUGUCAGCUGCGGUCCGAAGUCGGGGAAAACUCUGGGGACAUGGAUGCCAACCUCCGGGGGGGUGAAUGUGCCUGGCAAGACCCGUCCUCGGACCGUGAGCAGUGCUUCGGCAUGUUUGCGGUGCUGACGAAAUGCUUCUAUUCGACCCGUCUUGAAACACGGACCGAGGAGUCUAACAUGUGUGCGAGUUCACGGGUGUCAAACCUGCUUGCGCAAUGAAAGUGACUGCUGGGAUACUUGCACCAGCAACCGAUCUGUCAACCGAGAGAGAUUUGAGUUUGAGCAUACCUGUUAGGACCCGAAAGAUGGUGAACUAUGCUUGUGUAGGGCAAAGCCAGGGGAAACUCUGGUGGAGGCUCGUAGCGAUACUGACGUGCAAAUCGUUCGUCAAACAUGAGUAUAGGGGCGAAAGACUAAUCGAACCAUCUAGUAGCUGGUUCCCUCCGAAGUUUCCCUCAGGAUAGCUGGAGUUGAACAGUUUUAUCAGGUAAAGCGAAUGAUUAGAGGAAUCGGGGACGUGUUGUCCUCGACCUAUUCUCAAACUUUAAAUGGGUAAGAUCCAACAGUUGCUUAAUUGAACUGUUGGGGCAAAUGUGAACUCUAAGUGGGCCAUUUUUGGUAAGCAGAACUGGCGAUGAGGGAUGAACCUAACGUUGGGUUAAGGUGCUUAACUGCUCGCUCAUCAGAUACCAUAAAGGGUGUUGGUUCAUUUUAACAGCAGGACGGUGGUCAUGGAAGUCGAAAUCCGCUAAGGAGUGUGUAACAACUCACCUGCCGAAUGGACUAGCCCCGAAAAUGGAUGGCGCUCAAGCGGGUGACUGAUACCCAACCAUUGUUGCAAUUGUGCGGCAUCAAUGAGUAGGAGGGCAUGGGGGCCUGUGAUGAUGCUUUUGGCGUAAGCCUGG
rnacentral:rRNA from 1 species